rnacentral:tRNA from 1 species
GUCUUCGUGGUGUAGUGGUCAGCACGCUCGACGCGUAUUCGAGAGGUCCGUGGUUCGAGUCCCGGCAAGGGCA